rnacentral:lncRNA from 1 species
AUAGGUUCACACGUGGCUGUUAGAUGAGAUGUGAACCAUGACAGGUAGUUCAAUCUUUCUAAGAAACCACAAACCUCUUUCUUUACUUUUCUUCGAUUCAGGCGUUUCUCUUAUUGUUCUUUUUUUAUUUUUUUUUUAUUUUUUAUUUUCUAUUUUUUUUUAGCAGGAUGAACCUUGAUUCCUCCCUUACAACGAACCCCACAGCUUACCGGAUCGCACUCUGAUAGUGCACUCAUUCGAAUUCAACCUCAGUCUGAAUUGUCUUAACUGGUCAAACAACCUGCCCCGGCCUGCCAGAUGCCCCUCUCCUGUUUGGGACUUUGCUAUCAUGUCAUAGCAUAGCAUUCAAUUUCAUGAUGAAUCAUAUCAUGAAACAAAGUCACCA